ensembl:lncRNA
UGGUCAGGUCAAGUCACCUUUAUUUACAUAGCGCUACAAUAUUGAUUUGUGUCAAAGCAGCUUUACAGUGCCAAACAGGAAAACAGUUUGUCAAUAAUGCAAGAGGACAAUAGCAAAGAGUCAUUUUUCAAGCUAAAGUCAGUUCAUAGAUGGAUGUCAUCAUCCAGUUCAGCUCUCUUCCAAUAGUGUCUGUGCAAUCAGUCAAGCGUCCCUUACUAUUUUAGAGUCUCAGAUGCAUUGCUGGAUAAAAGAGGAAAAAAAGAGGUCAUGAUGUGAGUGAACAGUGGGCUGGACGUCUGAGACAUUACGUCAUCUUGGAUUCAGACAAGAACAUUCUGUUCUUAGGUCAAAACAAGAGUCCAGUCUCCGAACAUGCCCAAACAGAAACUGUUACCUUAUGUAAUGUCACAAUGUAAUGCUUUUGACAUGGACAAUGAUGCAGAAGCGGUUUGUGAUGCGCAUACCACAUUGGCCCUAAAGGGG